UACGAAGGGGGCUAGCGUUGCUCGGAAUCACUGGGCGUAAAGGGUGCGUAGGCGGGUCUUUAAGUCAGGGGUGAAAUCCUGGAGCUCAACUCCAGAACUGCCUUUGAUACUGAGGAUCUUGAGUCCGGGAGAGGUGAGUGGAACUGCGAGUGUAGAGGUGAAAUUCGUAGAUAUUCGCAAGAACACCGGUGGCGAAGGCGGCCAUCUGGCCCAUUUUUGACGCUGAGGCGCGAAAGCGUGGGGAGCAAACAGG
rnacentral:rRNA from 1 species